GAUUAACGCUAGCGGCAGGCAUAAUACAUGCAAGUUGAACGGCAGCACAGGUAGCAAUACUGGGUGGCGAGUGGCGCACGGGUGCGUAACACGUAUGCAACCUACCCUAUACAGGCGAAUAACCUUUAGAAAUGAGGGCUAAUACGCCGUAGUAUUACAGAUGGGCAUCUAUUUGUAAUUAAAGAUUUAUCGGUAUAGGAUGGGCAUGCGUCCCAUUAGUUAGUUGGUAAGGUAACGGCUUACCAAGACGAUGAUGGGUAGGGGAUCUGAGAGGACUUACCCCCACACUGGUACUGAGACACGGACCAGACUCCUACGGGAGGCAGCAGUAAGGAAGAGUGGGCAAUGGCCGCGAGGCUGACCCAGCCAUGCCGCGUGCAGGAAGACGGCCUUAUGGGUUGUAAACUGCUUUUAUACGGGAAUAAUAGAGUGUACGCGUACAUUUAUGCAAGUAUCGUAUGAAUAAGCAUCGGCUAACUCCGUG
rnacentral:rRNA from 1 species